AUUGAACGCUGGCGGCAGGCCUAACACAUGCAAGUCGAGCGGCGAGGCGGACGGGUGAGUGCUGCCUAGGAAUCUACCUGGUGGUGGGGGAUCACUUCAGGAAAGGGGCGCUUAUACCGCAUAAUAUCAGAUGACCCUCGGUCGUCUUAGCUAGUUGGUGGGGUAAAGCCCUACCAAGGCGACGAUCCGUAACUGGACUGAGAGGAUGAUCAGUCACACUGGAACUGAGACACGGUCCAGACUCCUACGGGAGGCAGCAGUAGGGAAUAUUGGACAAUGGGCGAAAGCCUGAUCCAGCCAUGCCGCGUGUGUGAAGAAGGUCUUCGGAUUGUAAAGCUCUUUUAGUUGGGAGGCGUUACCAACAGAAUAAGCACCGGCUAACUUCGUGCCAGCAGCCGCGGUAAUUC
rnacentral:rRNA from 1 species